rnacentral:lncRNA from 10 species
GAGCCAGCAGCCCAGAAGCUAAAUGCAGGGAGGCAGAGAAGACAGGAGAGAUGGAGGCUUGCAGGACCUGGUGGUUGGGGAGGGCCAGUGACCAGGUGUUUAGAAGCAGCACCUCCUGUGAUUGGGGCUGAGGGUGAACUCUGCUUUCAAGCAGAGGUGGUUUGUCGUGGGUCUUCCAUGAUGACACCAGGUCAAGGAAGCAGAAGUUUGCUUGGUAAACAUGGAAUCGGAACAUGGGAAUUGGGCCACUGGGAUAUUCAAUUGCGUCAGACCAUUGUAGCUGAUACUCCUGGACAGAGGGGCUUUGCCAACUGGACAGAUAUAUGAAGUGUUGCUGACCGAGCUCCUUGCUCUGUGUGGGAGGGAUCUUGCCAGCUCCAGCCUUGGUGGGUCUCCUUUUUCUGUUUCCAAGCUUAAAUAAGCACUUGGCUGUUCUGAUUAGCACUUUUAAAAGCUGUGUUAAUAAGUUCAAUUAAAAUAGAAGAAUCUCUCAUUCUGUCAUAUCGGGUUUUUUUAAUUGCAAACCAAUAAAACUUAAAUGAACUUGAGCAAAA